AAGAGAAGGAAUUACAUUUAGUGGGGAGAGAGAUGCACCGGUCUGAUAAGAGGUUUUAAAUCCAUGAAAGGAAGUAGUUACACUGAACACAAAUAUAAACGCAACAUGCAACAAUUUCUAUGAUUUUACUGAGUUACAGUUCAAAUAAGGAAAUCAGUCAAUUGAAAUAAAUGAAUUAGGCCCUAAUCUAUGGAUUUCACAUGACUGAGAAUACAGAUUUGAAAAAGGUAAGGGCGUGGAUAAAAAAAAACAGUCAGUAUCUGGUGUGACCACUAGUUGCCUCAUGGAACAAGACACAUCUCCUUCGCAUAGAGUUGAUCAGGCCUGUGGAAUGUUGCCCCACUUCUCUUCAGAGGCUGUGCAAAGUUACUGGAUAUUAGCGGGAACGAACACGCUGUCGUACACAUCGAUACUUGUGUUAUGCCUGCCCAUACCAUAAAUCCACCCCCACCCUGGGGCACUCUGUUCACAACGUUGACAUCAGCAAACCGCUCGCCCACAUGUCGCCAUGCACGCAGUCUGCCAUCAGCCUGGCACAGUUGAAACCGACGUUCAUCCAUGAAGAGCACACUUCACCAGCAUGGCAAUGGAAAUUGAAGAACAAAGAGUGGAGACAUCAAAACUAUGAAAUAAUACAUAACCACCGGACCCAACCUCCCACUGAUCCGCCUUCGGCCCGCCGACUGACACCACCCCGACAACCCCCGGACGCAGCCCCUUGUGCGACGACGCACGAGAGACCGCGAGAUGGGCCGCACAACGAACUUCCAACGGUUCCCGAGAAGAGGGCGACAGAGCGACUGCUCCCCCAGCCGCGGCUCGAGCCCAGCCCAUGAAAAUGGACAAACUAAAGGGUGUGCAAUGUAAAUGCCCACUGAGUGUACAUUCUGAACCUUGUCUGAGUCCAGUAGGUCACAUGACCAAGGAGCUAUUGAAAUUAGAAAGUUAGAAACAUUUAUGUAAAAACGUGUGAGAUGAAAAUGGACUAACUAAAGGGUAUGCAAUGUGUAGGCCCA